rnacentral:lncRNA from 1 species
GGGGGUGUAAUAGCGCGGGAGGUGGGGCUAAGGGGACCCUCAUCCUCCCUUUCCGACAAGUGGGGGUCCUGAGCGCUGCCCAGAAGGGGUCCAGAGAAUGUUGUGGGCUGGGGCACACCCGCCGGGGCAGAAAUUGGAGGACACCACCGACGUCGACAGAAUCCUUUCUAUCCUUCCUUUCAGCUGCCCGGUGUUCUCCACCCCUGCGUUAGCACUCUGUAGUCUGGGGACCUCCCGGGAACGUCCCGGGGCUAGCAACCAAGGGGGCUCUCGGAUGCUCUGUGGAUCGCCGCUUCGCCCUUACUUUGGGGACGGUCACACGCGUCCCGCUUCCCCCGGUCGCUUUAGAUCAGGCGUCUGCGCCCUCCCCGGCUCCUCACCCCCACCCCCAGAGUCAAAUGUGGGCCUCUCCUGGAAAUCCUUUGCGAAGGGGACAAACUUUUGAGUGGACGAAAAUCUAUUGGAGCCUGUCCAGAGCAGGCCCUGCUCUGAGACCCUGAGGCUGGCUGGCAUACACUCUGCCUCUGUCUGGAGUUUAUAAUGAGGAUGCAAAUACAGGGAUUCAAAGAAGAGGCCCUAAGUGAGAAGCCCGGGGAUUUGCUAACCAGGGGCAGGGUACCAGUUGUGACUUUGACCUUUAUAGCCUUAACUCACUGUAGACAAUUCUGCAUUUUCCAUUUCCACUCCAUCCCUGUUUCUGGGAGAGAGGUGCUGGUGUCCCCAAGGUUACUGCUCUCUGGGGAUGAGGGUCAGUAUCACAAAU